CGACCUGAGAUCAGACGAGAUUACCCGCUGAAUUUA
rnacentral:rRNA from 1 species